UACGUAGGGGGCAAGCGUUGUCCGGAUUUAUUGGGCGUAAAGAGCGUGUAGGCGGCCAGGUAGGUCGGUUGUGAAACUCGAGGCUCAACCUCGAGAUGUCGACCGAAACCAUCUGGCUAGAGUCCGGAAGAGGAGAAUGGAAUUCCCGGUGUAGCGGUGAAAUGCGCAGAUAUCGGGAAGAACACCCGUGGCGAAGGCGGUUCUCUGGGACGGUACUGACGCUGAGGAGCGAAAGCGUGGGGAGCGAACAGG
rnacentral:rRNA from 1 species